AUGGGUUCUCUGUCCACUGAGCUGGAGUUCUAUACCAUAGUGUUUUCUUUGAUGGUCUUCAGCCUAUUCACACUGGUCGGAGUUAUAGAGGAAAACUGCACAUACUCCACAGACCACUGUGAGCACCUGUGUGAGGAGCCAGUGCAGGGGAAAGCUUCAGGACUGGAACUGCAAUAAGCUGACUACCAAAUAAUUGACUACCAUUCAGGUAUGUUUCUGUGCCCUUUUGUGUAUGUAUGUUUGGUCUUGGAUGUCUGUGAAUCUGUAUGUGCUUGUCAUGCCUCCACUAACAACUUCUACAGGUGUGGAAUAAAUUCUACCUGCACCUGCA
rnacentral:lncRNA from 1 species